CAGGUAAUAACAAAGGGAUCGUGUCUAUAGAAGGGUGAAGGAGAGAGUCCAGGGAAGGGUAAAUCAAGAAACCAGAAGAUCUGAGGAGGCAGAUUGGGAUCUGGCAGGAGAGGGUUCUGCUGCAUGUUUUGGUCAUGACUUAGGGAAGGCACAGUCACCGAGUGAUGGAUCUGCACCAAGACUUGCCUCGGUCUUUUCUGCAUAAGAACGUGCGGAAGAAUGAUGGUUGGUGCAAGGGGAAGCCAUGGAAAGCCAUGAGUGCCUGUUCAGAAAUCCAGUGGGAAAGAUGAUUCAUGCCAUGUAGUGACACAAGGGCACAAGUGCUGCACUUCAGUCGCUCCACUGAAUUCUAUGGGAUUUUCUGUCUGCUGGAUCACUGGUAAGUCAGGCUCCAUAUACCGAAAGCGUUUGUUUCAGAAAGAUGUAGGAAAUGCUUGGGCUGUGAUCAAGGAAACAGGAAUUUUAACAUUUGUUUCAACCUGUUCCAAAGUUCAUCUUACAUUUCCUUGACCAUUUGUGUAAUCAAUCUGUUAGUGCUCAGUAGAAACUAGGACAAAAGGAUCUGAUCUUUCUUGUGCAUUUGAUGUAAUUGCUUCUAUUUACAGAGGUGGAAUAGAUUCUGCAAAUUCUAGCAGAUAUUUCAUAAGCAAAAAUGUGAAAUGAUACCCAAAAAGAGGAUUAGAAUCGAACUCCUGUAGUAAAAUUAUCUCCCAGUUUUGUUUUUAGGGCAUGUAAAAAUUACUUUGACAUUGGCUUUUGCCAGCAGAGGAGUCCGUUAAAUACAAUCAAUCUCUUAGCUCAUGUCAGGAAGACAGCGAUAGAGAAGAUGACUCUUACUAAAGCUUCAGGUAGAUGCUGUGCAUCAGACUGGUGAGCAAGAUUAAAUCUCUGAAGGCUCUGGCUGUCUCAAUCUCCAUUGAAGUUGCUGGGAUCUGAAGACACAACUUUCUUAUUACGGUGCUGUUUGCUAUAAGUGUUAAUAUGGUCAAAGGAAGACUACCCACCAAAGACUGUAAGGAACAGUAGCAAAACCUUUUUAUUUUUUACAAACGCUAAUGCUACUUGGGGACCAUUUCAUUCCCCAAGUGUACAUCUGUUUGAGCAAAGGAUUCCCAGAAACAAGCAACAAGAAUAUUGAGACCAUUGCUCAAUAACCACAGCUUUUAUUUGGCAAUAGUUAUUGAGACCUGCAAGGGUUUUCCUGGGCUCAAAACUUGUCUGUUUCUUGUAGCAAUGUUUUCUGUUGGGUCAUAUGGAUUAUUUCAUGUUAUUAGAGCUGAAUACUAGUUGUCUACCAUUUCAGAUUUGCUAGCUUUUUAUCUUGUAGCAAUGUAUUUGUAUGCUGUAAUCUAUAGCAAAAUGCCAUUGUAAUUUUAAUGUCAGGUGUACCCACUGUGAGUCUCAGGUUUGUAUCGCUAUCCAGGGAAUGUGUCUGAGCUCUUUCCUUUUUAAGCCUAGUUGAAGCAGUGCAUCCAGAUGCAUUACUUUCAAAUCUUAUUCUCAAAUGUUUUAGUGGAAAUGAUGUGUGAUCAUUUUAAUCUGGCCUUUAUGUGUUUGACCGGAACUCAGCCUACAUAUUGCCGUGAGACAAGGGAAAUUGGAUGCUUUUACUUUUACAGCCAAAGUAUUCAUAUCCUUCCAGAAAAAAAGAACUAAUCUUCUGAAGCAGCAGGUAAGUAAAAGAUUUGUGGAGAAAUGGGAAAGGACAUUUAAUAUAUUUAAUCUUAUUAUACAUUUUUCUACAUUAAAAGUCAACAGGCUGCAAAUAUAUUUUGCUACAAAGCUUUUUGUAGGAAAUAUCUCUAUAAGAAAAUACAUCUCAUUAAACAUUUCCUGUAAAUAAAUUAUCCCACAUAACUAUGUUUUGUAAGAGGAGAAGGGAGAGGGUUAGGCUAGUGAUAAGAAGAGCCAAAAAUUGCUGAGCCCAUUUCUGCAACCCCACUGCUCCAUUUGGGUUACAUUUUCUUGUACACAUAGUUGAAAUGAAGGCAACAGAGCUCCUCUGUUGAGCAUGUGCUGUCAGUGUAAAUAACACAGACAGUGUUAUUUAAAAGUACAGUUCCUGUACUUUUUUAAUAUCUUGAAAUUAUGCUAUUUCUGAACCUUAUUCCUGUUUUAGGUACACAAGAACUCCUUUGAAAUAACCAAAGUGGAGCUGGUAGGACUGAGUUUGAAGUCUGACUCAGACUGUUAAAAAACAGAAGAGCCCACCCCAGAGCAGUUCCUUAUGGCAAUUAAAAAAUAACUCCAGUAAGCAGGCACAGCCAUUGUGGAAAGCCACUGUAGCCCUUAUACUGGCCCCUGAAACAUCAUGGGACAACACAGCAAGGUUUCAAGAUACUCAGGCCUCUCAUUCAUAGACAAGAGUUUAAAAUUCUACAAUGAAGAGAAACAGAGCCAGAAGACUCCUCUCAGUCAUGGAAAACACACUCUGCAACAGGUAACAUUUGCAUUUAGGUCAGAACUCCAAGGAGGCAUUUUUCUUUGACACAUGCCAGAUAGAAUAAGAGAUUCACCAUUCUCACAGUGAACACAGAAUCAUAAAGGUUGGUAAAGACCAAUCAUCAACCCAUCACCACCAUGCCGCUAAACCAUGUCCCUCAGUGCCACAUCUCCAUGUUUCUUGUAAACCUUCCAGGGACGGUGACUCCACCACCUCUCUGGGCAGCUUUCUGAGAUGAAAUUUUUCUUAAUAUCUAACCUGGACCUCCCUUGACACAACUUAAAGCCAUUACCAAGCAGUGCAAGGCCAUGAAUUUUGAAGCAGUCCACAUCUUCACCAGACUGGUGCAAGCUUCUUCACAAUUGCACCAUUCCACUCCAACCCAUACCAUUCAGACUUUUUGGAAGCAAACAUCUCUGAUCAGCAUUUAGCUUAGAUGGCCUUUACUUCAUUUAGGUACUUACUAUUCUCCUUAAGCUUGCCAACUGCUGAAUAGCAUCGCUAUGAUAUAUAGCACAGACUAUGUUAUACAACACAAAAUCUCUUGAACGUAUAAUUGCCUAAAAGCACACAGACAUACAAUUCUCCCUUUUUCAUCAAAACCAACAUUAUCCUAUAGAAAAAUCGACUGAUUUCUAAAAAGAAAAUGUGAAGGCACUGUAUUCUCCCAUUAAGAAGAGAAAGAUAAGUUUAUUCCUACAAAAGAAGACAUAAUGCUUUAAAAAGACAUAAUGACACCACCAUUUUCCAGGAUCCCUUUUGCUGAUUCCCACACAGCUUCAACUAUGCUCACUGUCUGCAGCUAAUUUUACUGCCCAUUAAAUUAAUCAUAGAUUUGUUUCCAUUUCUCAAAAUUAUCCUUGAGGAAUUUGUUUAGAUAAAAAGAUGAGAACAAUUUGGGGCAUUUUCUGGAAAAUGAUGUUUACACCUCCUCAACUGAUUUUCUGCAGCAUUUUAAAUGAAUCAAAGUGUUGCUUUUACUGUACUGCAUUUAUUGAUUAAACACAAACAAAAAUCUCAAUUGACUAAUUUUCAAUGUGGAAUGAUUACUUUUAAAAUAUUUUUUAAUCCAGUCUUGAUUAUACUGCUCUCAGAAAAGAAAAACUUGGAUGAUGUUGAGAAUUUGCUAUGAAAAGUGUUCUUUUAGAUGGAGGGUGGCCUGUUUAUCUGUCUUUUUGCUACUCUCUUGAAAAUUGUAGAAGAAACAGGAGGUGAGAUAAAAACACGCUAGUGCCUUUAGCUGGGGAGAACCAUGCCAUUUUCCAUAUGAUUUCAUUAAUUGUAUUCUUUUUCAAAAUUCAUUUUACAUUAACUAAAGAGCUGGCUGGAUAUUUCCAGAGUGCUGCUGCUCCAUUACUUCUGCCCUAUGAAUAUAUGCAUCUUUGAAGAAUGAAUCCAGAGCGCAGCUGUUUGGAGAACUUGACGCAUGUAUAAGGCUUUCUCCCUUAAGAAUAAGUAUUUCCUCUCAAGUUCAUCCUCAUUCAUCAAAGAAGGCCAAAUCUUUUAGCUAGGAGUAGUGAUUAGACACAAAUGCAAGUGCUCACCUUUGUGGUACUCUCAACGUAUAAUUGGAUUUUCCUUGUUCUAGCAAACCAGACCGAGAUAAAGUGCUCUCCCUUCAACCUUAUCGGUCCUUUUCCUCAUUUUUUCCAGCAAGAAAUAAUUAAUCCUAAUGAACAAUUAUGAUAUAGUUAAAUUGGGACCUUACUAAACUAAAUAACAGAAAAUUCAGAAAUUUUUUUUGUGGAUCUGUGCAUGGUUUUACUGAGUUUGGAAAAUACUAACACUGCUAGCAGGGGAAAAUGCAAAUAAAAAACAGAUGAACAAGCUGUAACCUGGAGAUGAAGGCAUUUUAGAUCCUUGUCUGUCAUCAAGACCUUCAUAACCGCAUCUUUUUUCCAAUAUGGGCAUGUGGUAUACACCUGCAACUUGUCAGCAAGAAACCUACUUGCAGUUUUCUUUUGGUUCCUCAAAUAGCUUUUUUAAAAAAGCUGAUCCUAAAUGGUGCUAAUGACUAUCUGGCAUACCGUAUCUACUGUCUGUUUUACUUUUGGCUUUAACUGACAUUUAAAUGAUACACCUAAUUGCUAGAUCUCAACUCAAUCUUUAGGAAUGGUUAGAAGUUACAAAAGAAGUGUUAAAAAUUGCUGAGAUAAGUGACACAACACAGCCUUAAGUCUAACUCCCGAGCCCUGGCCUAAGUAGAGAUGACAUUUCUGAAAUUAAAAAAUAAUCCAAAACAUUUAUCUACCUAAGGGAAAUGACUGCAUCAUACCCACAAAUUGUCUUUUGUUACAUGCAGCUUGGACAACAACUAUCACGUCUAUUCAAAACUUUAAACAACCAGCUGCCAGCCAGCUCCAUGAAAAACCUUCUUGCAAAUUGCCUGAUGCCAUCAAUUGCCUUGAUCUUUCUUCCAAAACCACCAUCUAUUUGAUAUCCUAGUUAUCAGUCACAGGGAGCUUUAAAUAAAAAUGCCUACACAGCCUCGUCUCCUAGUCACUAGACACUCAUUAGAAAUAACUUAUGCCUUUUGAGAUGCAAUUUAUCUAUCUUCACGGUAUUCAGUAAAAUACGAAAACAAAACAAAAUAGAGCAUGUACCUAGUCUUGGCUAACAGCAGGGAAAAUGUGUUCAUAAUUGUCCUGUUGUCAGUAGUAGUUGAGCGUCUUUGUAUAAGUAAGUAUAUAUAUUUUAAAAUACAGCAAGAAGAAAAUAUAUCUGUAGAAAAGCAUAUACUAACAAUUGUCCAUGCACAACUCAAGGUUUUCAGAAACUCCUAUACCUCAGUGCCUAAAACACAGUCUUUAGAUUGAGAGAAUAGCAGAGAACGUUUCCUAUAUAUGAUGCAAAGACCCAAAUCAGUCCCAGAUGGAGAGGGAAAAAGCAAGCUGUAAACCAGCACUACUUCCCCAGCAAUGAUAACUAAUUCUACAAGGCACUUCAUCCUUUCACAUUCUUCAGCUAUUCAUAUCAUUUUCUGGUCGUAAAUCUCUAUCCACUAAACAUGGCUUUGAUAUUAUGGGAAACCAGAUGAAACUGAGAUAAAAUAUGCAGCACUCCCUGAAGCUGCAUUUAAGCAAUCUUAUUUAUUUUUUUUUAGCCCAGAUUACAGGCCAUCAUGUUGCUGAAGCAUGGUAUAACCUACAUUUGCCCGUGAUAUUCACAUUUUCAGAUUGUUUAGUCUGAUGAAGAGCAUUGAAGAAGAUGCUUUCUCCUCAGUCAUUCCAAUUAGUUUUGUAUUCUUGUAUAGAAGAUAAAUACUGAAAUGGUGCUGCUCUUUCUGAGCCAAGAUGUCCACCCUACAUCUAUCAACCAAAGCUAACCUUUGCCAGGUAGGUUAGAGCAGCACACAAAUGUUAAUCUUUUCUUUUUAAGAGAGAGGGAGUAUGAAACUCCAUUCCUGUCCUUCCUGAAUUUAUACUCAAAAUAGCAAGAGUGCACUAUGGAACUACUCAAAGAAAAUGAUGCAGAUGAUAGAAGGAAAAAUCUGUUCUGUUUUGUUUUUUUUUUCCAAUCCUUCCAAGACUACUACUAAGGCACUUAUUUUUGCAUUAAAUUCACAGUGAGGUUGGGAUAUCUACCUUUCAUAUACACCUAAUGCCAUUCCUUGAAUUUGCAGAGUGUACAGAAGUGAGGUUUAUUUCUGCCUUUGCCUUCCCCUUUUGCCAGAGAUCUACUAUAGCACCUUUCCUCAGCUAAUUGGCAAUGAGGCUUUCUUGAUAGUUUUCCUGGAGUCAUUUACUCUCUUGCAAAUUUUAUGUGGUCACCCUGAACCACAGAGUUUCACCACAAGCUGAAAUAGCACAAGUGCUGGAACCAUUGUGCUGUGGAGUCAAUCAGCCCCAGUCUCUCUGUCUGGCACUACAAAACGUAAUGCAGAAGCACAAGGGAGGAAGACAGAUGUCUAAUGUGCUGAAGGGCGAGUGAAUAGUCUGAUGGCAAGCACUUUACUGAGCUGUGGGAGAUAAGGGCUUGAAUUUCAGCUUGGCCUCCAGCAUAUAUUUGAAAACAGUACUCCCAGCCAGCGCCUUAGUCACCAGGCUCUCAUUUGCUCAUAUUAUGAGGUCUCAUUUGUUUUCAUGCUAAAGCUACUCCACACUGUACUAUCAAGCUAUGUCAGAAAAAAACAGGAAGAUCAACUGGCAUUUUUACCUGAGCUGUGUCAUCACUUAUCCAGCACAAGUAGUCCUAAACACUGCUGGCUUCAGAUCCACCUCCAACACUGAGAAGAGCUGUACUUAAAUAGGUGAUACGGUGGAACAGAUAUCACUACAGACUCCCCCAGAAACACCUCACUUUUUGUUUGUUUUUAAAAUAUCGUAAAGUCCAAGUGCAGAGACAGUUCUGACAGAUGAUCAUGGCUACUACCACUUCCAUCAGAAGCAGCAGCAAGGAGGUUAUUCAGUAUUCUUUUUCUUUGGAUGAUGAGCAGCUAUUGAAAAGUCUCACAUAAGGAAGGGGCUACCAAGGGAAGUGGUGGAGUCACCACUCCUGGAGAUAUUUUAGAGACAUGUGGUUAUAGUACCUAGCCUUGGUAGUGUUAGGUUGGACUUGAUGAUCUUGAAGAUCUUUUUCAAUCUAAAUGAGUCUAUGAACCACAUGAAUAAUAAGAUCGCUGCGCUUACUGUACUGGACACCUGGACAGCUUCUCUAACAGUUAUCACGUGCUGGUUACUGGGAACUGAGCUGAAGAACAGAAGAAAAGCCCGUACAGCUGGGAAGUAAGAGCACUACAAAUCCACCAGGUCAACCCUUCAUUGCAUACACAGUUGUCAUGUCAAAGGGCUAGCAGCUAUUGCAAAGUUGAGACAGAGGGCACCAGGAAAGGGACACACGGAUUAUCCUUGGAAUAGCCUUGCUUCCUAGGUACCAGCAUAUUAGAAAUCAAAUUUAAGCAACUACUCACAGGCUUGUUCAUCCCUUGUGAUACGUAGUUAGUAAUACCCUGUGCAAAUAUCUGUACCAGUAGGUUAGGCAGUCACAUCCAGAAAUGCCUUUUUCUGCAGUCAAAAAAAAACAAAACAAACAAACAAAAACAGCAAACACCUGUUUUUAGCUCACCUACACACACCAUGUUUGUGAGACAGUUUACCACCAGUUGGUACUGGAACUUAGUCUAGUACUCACUUGUUCAUAAUGAAGAAAAGGUUGUUUUCCCUAUUUCCAUUAUUUUUAUAAAAUUUAAAGCAAUGGCUGUAAAGUGAGUGGAAGCCCACCUCUCUACAGCCAGUGUGCUAGCUGGAUGAUCACAACUGAGCUAUAGAGGAGAGAACAAAGUUUCCUCCCUCCAGCUACAAAAUAAACAAUAGAGCUUGUUGGUCAUAGUCUCGGGACUAUGCACAUUGCUUAAUAUCCCACAGCCAUCAGGCACGAUGAAGCAACCAACUGGCUCAAUCCUAGUGAACACCUCUGCCCUGUCCAAAGCAGGACAAGGAGGAGAAUGCUUUGUCCCUGAAGAGUCAACGCAUGAAAUAGCCACAGGAAUGCCAGGUCUGCUUUUGCUUUUCUCUCUCUCUGGAGAACUAGUUAAUCCAAAGUUUUAACCAAAUAGCCCAAAAUAAAGAACAUUUACAAAGAAUGCAAGUUAUUGAAUGACUCCUUAGUUAGACCUGAUCCUGAGCAGAUCCUGUCUUUUACCAGAUCUACAUUGAUGGGAAGGAUACACACACCACAUGUGGCCUGUAGAGCUAGAUAAAUACGUCACGUGUGGGAUUUGUCCCACUAGGCAAUUUGGAGAGGGAAUGAAGAUUCUCUCUGUGAAAAUCAAUGAGAAGACUUAAUGCGAUCUCACAGGACACAAACCUUUGCAACAAUGGAAAUAAGAGCGCUUCACUCAAAACCACAUAAAUUGGAUAAAGAAAAAAUGGAAGAAAAAAUUAACAAACAAAGAAAACUCUUUUCCUACAGCUUUUUUUUUUUUUUUUUCCUGCAAGACAACUGCACUGCUUUCUGAUAGCUUCUCAAACAUAUUCAGACAAUCCAUGUCUUACUGACAAACUUCGCUCCUCUUUCUCCUAUCUGUGAAGUGAGCAUUUGAAUUAAGAUGCGGAUGGGAAAUGAUUGUCAUUUAGUACUAUUUUGUUUUUAAUCCCACAUGACAAAAGAGCUUAUCAGCAGCCAUCUGGAAUAGUACAGUUUUCCCACAGCACUGCUGAUGUUGCUAUUUUCUAUUCUUAGCUCAACACAAGCAUAGAUGAUAGCGAGGGAUCUCGCUGUGCACAAGCAGAAUGCCGCAGUUAAUUUAUCCCAUGGAGGAAAUCACGCUGUGCUCUCAGACAGCUCCAGACAUGGAUCCGGACUCAGACUGAUCUCACCAGAAACUCUCAACCCCCUGUGACUGCUAUGGCACAUAUUGUUCCUGAAAGUAAAAUUCUGGUUAGUUGCAAUGAAACAGAUUUACUCUGUUCAGUUGCCAUGACGAGCUAAACAAUUCAGUUUUUCUUACCAAGCCUCUUUCUUGUUAAAAAAAUAAACGUCUCUGACCCACUUCUCUGCCAGACCUAGAGAGAGAAAAGCACCAUCUUCUGCUGCUAGAUUAAGCACAGGCACUUUCUUAUAGCAAUAACUUAUUUUUAACUCUUCAGCUUAAAACAACACUGCUGUUUAUGAGGUCUGAUUCACAGAUUGACAUAGUGCUACAUCAUGUAUGUGUAUGCUGCAGCCUCCAAAGAUCAUUCCUUCCAACUGCGUGGCUAAUGGCCCCAGAAGCCUGCAUUAUUAAGACAAUAAAUAUUCAUGUUUGAAAGUAAUACUCAAUCUACUGCUAGACCACCAGGGGAAGAACAUUUCUUAAACAUGCAGUAGUCCAGCUCUCAUGAUUUGCUAGAGCCAAAGAAAACUCAGAUCUUAACAACCCUAAAAACAAACCUCAGUGAGAUCUCUCUGAACAGGCAAGGCUGCAGGAGUCACGUGGGUCCUGACUCAGGCUUUCCUCAAUCCCAUCAAAAUGUCAUGGAAAACAAUCUCCAGUUCUGCAAGCAUGGAAUGAGCUAUAUUUUCAAAUAACUUAAAGGCAAACACACUAUACCCAAAAUAUAUUCAUAUGUAUGUUUUUAUGAUACAGAACAACAUAAAACUACUACCAGGAUAUAGUAUAUCUAUGUAUCAUAGAUCCCAAGGCAGCACAGCUAUGGGUCUUCCUGUUCUAUCACACCUUUAAGACAAAUUAUCGACCUCAGAAUCAUAUUGGUGUCAUUUUACUGAAUCAUCCCAUUUCCAAGAAAACAUAUUGCAUUUCCUCUGCACUGUGCACACUGAAUACAUGUGCUCAAGUUUUCCCUCCCUCUCAUGUUUCAUGACCUUGGGAUUACCUAGCAGUGCUUCCAUCUCAACAUUUGGAGAGACCAGGAGCAUCCUAUGUUGCAAACACAAAUCUUGAUUGGUACCUUACAAAAGACAUGAUUAAAAGAAGGUUCAAAAGUUUGGGAAACAGUCGGUUUGACUCCAAAUUUUAUGGGCAUUGUCACUGCAUGAUUCAUACUGCCUAGCAAACGACCAGCAGUAGUGUUACUGCAGAGAGCAUCAAAACAAUGUUAGGUAAUCUUUCAAGUCAACAAUGUAGUGCUAAAUCAGCGUGACAGAAAAACUCUAGAUCUUGAUUUUAUGUCAUUUUUGAAUUCAUCACAAAAGACUGCUUGAAGAAUAAAGGUUUGUUAGCACACACUUUGUUCUAUGUCCAGCCUUUUCAGCAGACUGUUCUUGGCCUUUUAUCUCUGCCUUUUCCCCACCCCUUUUCUGAUGGUUUUGCUUUUUAGUUUUGUCUCUAAUUGGCUAUUUAUCAUCUGUUUCAGAGUAGGAUUCUUCAGGCUUUUUGAUCAGCAUGUUUACUGCUAUGGAUGAACAGUGGGUUGCCAAAAAGAGCUUUCCCUCUGAAUCUAUUAAUUCCUGAAGUAUGGGUUAUUUUAUCCAGAUAUAUUAUCCAGUUGGAAACAGCUAGCAGAUCCUACACCACAGAAAGCACCAGGUAUUAAGCCACACGUAGAUAUUCAGAUAUUGCAGUUGGGAGUAGAAUAACUUUGCUGGGAACUGGCAGCAAGUUGCUGUUUGAACACCUGGGUCUGAAUGUCCCCAGGUUAUGAUGAUGCACUUUCAAGGUGGAGCUUUUAUUGGGAACCAUCUCUGUGCAAGCAUACAUUCAGCAAGAAAGAUGAGAUGACAGCUUUACCUUCUAUAGUACUGCUACCGAGGAAACGAACUUCCUUUGCUUUUAAAUUUUCACAAAGUCUAGAAAAAGGGGGAAACCCUGUCAUAUUGAAGUCAGUGCAAAAAUUCUAUUUGUCUGCUCUGAAGUCUGGAGACAAAAUGCUUCCAAGUUAGGAACAUUUGUGCAAUGUCUGCAGUCCUCAUCCUGGAAAUUAUUCAUAGGUAUUCCUUGCAGAAUACACUUUACACUGCAGAAUGCACAGCAUUUAAGAUACCAGUUUUCAAAAUGCAGUUUCUCUAGUCCUCCUAUUCAUAAGGACAGCUCUAAAGAAAACAUAAGUUCAUGUCAGCUGGAGAGACAGCCAGAUGCUGAAUGUCUGAGAGGGAUGAACCGCAGUCUCCACUCAGCAGACUUCUGACUGCAAUCUGACAUUGAUACUGAAUGUCAGCAUUAUUAAUCCUCUCCCUGAUGGUCGUUUAUGUGGGAACACCUGGCUCAUAUGCUUCUCUUUCUAUCCCCAGUUCUUUCUCUACACAUCAAAAACCACCACUGUCAUCUGAGAUUCAAAACACCCCUGUCCUGUCUCUUCCUAUUCUACAUGAAACCCUCUGCACCGUGAUAGUUGUUACCACUCUUUGGGGGGGGAGGAGUAAAAUGAGAGGGACCAAGUCCUGAAUCUUCAACUCCAAAGCACUUACAAAGAUAGAAAAUCAGGCAUCAAAAUGAGCUAGCCCAGCUUUAAUAUCAGAACUGACUAUGCACUGGUUCCCACUCUCCUCAUUGCAACUGCAGGAAAACUCACACUAUGAGAGCCACAGCUCCUCACCCUGGCCUGCUGCAGCAACAGUUAUGCAUGUACAAGGGGCCAGCAGUGCCCAUGCACAGUGGGACCACCUGCAAUGGAGCAGCUGUCCUGGGGAAGGUCUUGGACACAGACCCACGCGGCUCAGGCAACCUCUGUCUGUAGUUAGACAUGCACUACUGCCUGUUUGACUGACUCCUCAGCUACAGUAAAAGCAAAAAUUGUAAUAUGGGGCUAUUAAGGCAAAUUAUCACACUCUACUCAAAGGAGGACAAAGACAGCAGAAAAGGAAAGGACCCUGACAGACAGUGACAUUAAAAAGUCAUCGUGCUCUUAUUGUAUGAUUAACUUAGACUUCAGCCUGUGGUAAAAAGCUUAGCAAUCAAGGUUUCAACACUAUUUACCAUUUUUUUCCUUUUCUUUUAAAAUGUUCCUAGCUAAUUUUGCACAAACAAGAAAACAUGAACAACACAGCAAGGCAAGAAUAACUUGUGAGUAAAACCAGAUGAACACUAACAUAUUUACAUAGUGUAAUGACUUCACUAUUAAUUCAAACAAACCCAGGCCCCAAUUCUCAGAAGACUGAGCUGAGCACAUGUGGUCCAGGAGACAAGAACAGGGUGGCUCAGACUGCACUGAUGUCGGCAGCCCCUGAGCAAGUAGGGGCUGCUCAAAGUUUCAGUCUACAAUAGCCACUGAGGGACCAUCUUUCAUUCCAGACAUCAUACUCUGCCUACACCCUCUUCUUGCUCAUGAAUUAACUAUAUAUAGAUCAGAUCUGGUCCCCAUCCUCAGAAUAAGCUGAUUCUGCAGCUAAGAAUUCUAUUUAUCCUUCUCCCUGCUACAUUUUACUGUAUCUUCUGAAAAUACAUCUUUUAAAGCACACUCUUCUGGUCUGAAAAUAAUAUUCUUUAUGUGGAGCUAUGGAAUCUCUUCCUUGUUCCUAGAUGUCUUGGAAGUUAAUCAACAUAAAGCCAUUAAAAAGCUUAAUCCCCUAUGCUUGGCACAACAUCAGUCUGAGAAUGGUUUCUUUGUAACAGCCUUUGGAAUAAAUAUCCAUUCAAGAUUUGUUUUUUCCUUAUACUGGUCACCCGCACUUUACAGUGGGUGGCCCUUUCAUUUAUCCCCAUUACUGUACUUCCACUUCUGAAGCUAAGCCAGACACAGCAACCUGAUACUACUUUUUUGUUCAUGCAACUCCAUUGUAAUGAAAAGUUCCACAUAUAACUGAUAUUUGUUGGGAAAGCCAAAGAAACAGGAACCAUGGUAAAAUUGCACCACCUUCUUGACAACUUUAAUUCUGAAAGAGUUGGGUUCUCCAGGAGAACACUUUGUUGGCAAGCAUGUUUUCACAUUUAGAUGCCUCGGAAUACAAACACAGUCAGUCCAUUCCUGAACACCUCUGGUUGGUAGUAUUUGCAUGACAGCC
rnacentral:lncRNA from 1 species